rnacentral:pre_miRNA from 10 species
UGUGCAGUGGAAGGGGGGCCAAUCCACUGUAGGAGAGUGAGUAGCAGGUCUCACAGUGAACCGGUCUCUCUCCCUACUGUGUC